rnacentral:lncRNA from 1 species
UACUUUCAGUUAAGUAAAAAAAAAAAUUCUUUUACUAAUUGACAAUGUUUUUUAAUAGAACGUGUAAAGAAUCCGUGUAGAAUGUGAAAUUAUUGCCUUUUUAGAAUAAUAAUGCCCUUUUUUUAAACUUUUGCACCCUGCCCUUUUUUCUGCCUAGAAUGAGCUCUGGAAAUAAAAGUGGACUCUCUAUAUUUUAUCAAUCUACAUUUUGUGGCCGAAACCCCCCGACUUAAUGACAGGCGCACAUUGCCCUUAAGAGUCCUCUUUAGACAGCAAAGAGUUUAUAUUUCCUCUAUAUUUACUUAUAGAGAAAUUACAUGGAAGCAAUAUCUUUAUUAAACUUUGAAGCAAGCUUUGUUUCAUUAUAUUCAUUGAAAUGUGUUUUAUUUAACAUGGUAACCAUAAUUUUAAUUUGUAAGGUAGUAUGCAGAUUUAAUCAACACAUUUGAAUGAAUAAAAUGGGACAAAAAGUAUUUAUUAGUAUAAAUUAGAUAUUUAAUAAAUAAAUUGCAUUUAUGUUAUUCUGAAGAUUUUAUUUACUGUAUAAAAUAAACCCUUAAAUCUGAGGGCUCAUCAUAGCCUUUUUUGGUAUUAGUGCUAGAAAUCUAGACCUUACUUAAGUAUGGUUGAUCAUGAAUUACGAUUUCUUAUUAUUUGAAUUACUGGAUUUUUGUUUUCUAUUAAUUUUUAAUUUAUUUUGUUUUAAUAUGUUGCAGCUUGUGUGAGUUUUACUUAUUUGCCUGAUGAAUAUGGCAUGACAGUGACAUUGAGGAUUGGUGAUGUUGUAAUUAUCAAUGAAACUAUAUCAGCAAGAAAUCCCCCACCCAUAUGCCUGGCGCCGCGUUAUGUGGAUAAAAUCUUCCAUAUAUGUCUGCGCUUCUAUGAUAUGGAUGUAACAAGUGCAUUAUUUCAUUCCUGUGUUCAGAUAGAGGUGAAAAUGUUUCAUGUUUUCAGUUUAAAAGAAUGGAAACUUGGCUGUUUUAAUAUUGAUUUAGUAAAAGUUAGACAGAUGGAAUACUUAGAGAAGAUAGCCAACCUUAAUUAUCUUACCACACGUACUGACCGCAAAAAGAAAUUCUUAAAAAAGAAGUCAGUAAAUAAGAAGAUAUUAACCCCAAGUCGAUGGUGAAGGUUAAAUCACAGCCAUAUUUUAAGCCUUCAUAAUUCUAUCUUAUUAAAUUUAAAUGAUAUUAUUACAUUAGAGUAAUAAAAUACCAAAUCUUUAACGAAAUUAAGUUGAAAUCAUGAAUGCUAAGGUUUCUUGUUAGCACUUCAAUUUUUUCGUAUGUAUUUAUUUUUACAUUGAUCUAGGGGUGCACAACCUUUUUGAGUGAAGGGCCACUUGCACAACAGGGUGACUAAUGAAGUUUUGCACAAGCAUUUAGGCAUGGUGAUGGCAAAUAUCUUCUUCAAACAUUAGUAUUCUAAGCAGUAAAUUUUUUAUCAGUAAACUUAGUAAUAUAUUUGCAGUAAGUCAGAUUUUAAUUAUUAAAAUUCAUUUUAAAAUGAAAAAACAUACUUUUUAAAAAAAAAAAUUUCCUAUUUAUCAAAAAUUGAUUUAUUAAAAAAAUAUUUAAUUUAUCAUUUUUGAUAAUAAAAAAAUAGUUUUUUUUCCUCUUUUUUCUCAUUAUAUCAUGUAUUACAAAAGCUCGUUUUAAUAUAAUUUCUAAAAAGAAAAAAAAACUUAAUGCUUACAGAAUAAAAGUAUAAAAAAAUAUGUAAUUUAAUGAGUAAUAUAAAUUCAAAUUAAAUAUUAUAUUUAAAGAAAAUUUAUAAGAUGUAAAUAAAAAUGUAAUUAAAUGUAAAAUGUAAUUAAAACAACAUCAUUAUAGUACAAAAUAAGAUUAAACAUUUAUUUGGUAUUAUACUUCAUAUAUUUCUAUUUUUUCAAUUAUUGUUAGAGGUUUCAUGAAUUUUAAAUAGAAAACUUUUUCUUUUUUGUUUUUUCAUGAAGAAACAUUUAUGCUAAAAAAAUAUAUAAUAAAAUUAAAAACAGUUCGCCCAAUUUUAAAAUUUCUCUUGUUGCAAUAACAUUGUAUUAAAAUAUCAGGACUCUGAAUAUCACGUGGAAAUGAAUGACACUAACUGCCAAAAAUAAUAAUAAUAAUAAUGAAAAUAACUUGGAUUUAUGACGAAAUGGACACAAAUAAAUUGUAUUAAAAAGGAAUUGUUGAAAUGAGCGAUUUUAAACUUAUGAAUCAGAAUAACAUUGUAGUUACAAUAACGGGAUUAAGGAAAAGCAUAGCAAUAAAUGCAGAAAAAAUCGCUUAAAAUUGUCAAUGAAAUCAGCUCAAAUUGAGCACUUCAAUAAGUAAUUAUUUAAAUGCUUGAUUUAAUAUUCACAUGUUGUAAUAAAAACUAGAAUUUUUUACAUUACGGGGGAACACAUAGUGCCCCCGAGACGUCAGUCUAAAAAAUAGUUGCAAAGUAACUUGGAUUUAUGACAAAAUUGGCAAAAACAAAGCACAUUAAGAAGUUAUCAUUUAUAUGUACACAGAUUGAAACUUGUAUCAUAAUAUUAUCGUAGUAAAAAUACAGGGUUUCUAUGAAGCAAAAACUGCCUUAAAUAUAUAAAUAAAAAGAUUGAAGAACAUUUAGAGGAAUGUUCACAAAUAAUACAUGUCAAAAAGUGAUAAAUUAACUGUGUGAUUUAUAAAUCAGGUUUGGUAAUAUCAUAUUAAGUGUAUCAGGAUUUUAAAAAAUACCUAAAAAUCGUUAGCUGUAGUUGUCAAAAAAAAAAAAAACUAUCAAAACAGCACUUGGAUUUAUGAUGAGCAGCCGAAAAUAGGUUUACAAUAUAAUCUGCAAACUGAGUAUGUCAAAAAGAAUUGAGAUUCUCUGUGAGCUGCACAAUGACAGUCGGAGGGCCCGCAGGUCGCUGGUUGUGCAUCCCUAAACUAACCAUCUGGUAAACAAAUUUUUUUUAAUCAAGUUGAAAAUGUAUGUUAAUUGUUAUUUAUUCUUUUAUAACAUUCAGAAUUUUAUCAAAUUAAAUUUGAAUGAUAUUUCACUGAAAUAGUAAAACAUGAGUGUAAUUAAGGUAGCUUUAUAAAUUUUAUACACUGAGAAUCUCUUGUUGGUAUUUUAAUUUGUUCUUAUGUAUGUAUUUUUUGUAUUAACCUAAUUUUUUAAACUUUUUUUUCUGAAUUCUAUUUUAUUAAAUAUUAUAAGCAUUACAUUGGUGGAAUAAAAUACUAAAACAUUAAUUUAUGAAGGAAUGUAUUUUUACGUUAACCAUUUUUUUAACAAAGUUUAUGAUGAAUGUUAUUUGUUAGUAGUUUUUUCUAUAACAUUCAGAAUUAUUAAAUUUGAAUGCUAUUACAUAAGAAGACUAAAACACAAGUGUUAUUAAGGUAACAUGAUAAAUUCUAUAAGCUAUGAUUUUCUUGUUAGUACCUUGAUUUUUUCUUGUAUACUAACAUAAUAUUAUAUAAAAGUUUAAUAUAAAUAUGUAUAUUAAACUUUUUUUUAAAACCAAGUCGAUGAUGAGUUACCUUAGUUUUUUAUAUGACAUUUAGAAUUCUAUCGUAUUAAAAUUAAAUAUCUCAUUAGAUUUUAUUAAAUUUGAAUAUCAUUACAUUAGAAUAAUAAAAUAUGAAAACAUCAAUAUAAAGUGAAAUGAUAAAUUCUACAAGCUAAGGUUUUCUGUUAGAAUUUAAAUUUCUUUCGCAUUUAUUUUUUAUAUUAACCUAAUUUUUUAAACCAAAUCAUAUCUUUUUUUGUAUCAAUCAUAAUUUUAUUUUAUUAAAUUUGAUUAGUAUUAUACUAAAAUGAUUGAAUAUAAUGAUGAGUGCUAUUAAGGUAACAUAAUAAAUUCCAUAAGCUCAGAUUUUUCUUCUUAGUACUUUAAUUUCUUCUUGUGUAUUUAUUUUUUGUACUUAUCUUAUUUAUUAAACCAAAUCUAUGAUGAAUCUUCGAACUUAUUUUUUUAAUAACAUUUAGAACUGUAUUUUAUUUAAUUUAAAUAGCAUUACAUUAGAGUAAUAAUAUACCAUAAUUUUAAUGUAAGUUGUAAUGAUAAAUUCUGUUAACUAAAGUUUCUUGUUAGAACUUCAGCUUCUUCUUGUUCAUUUAUUUUUUAUAGUAAUUAAUUUUCUAUUUCUACAUUUAUUUAAAUUUAUUAAAACAAUAAAAAAAAUUACUUUAAUAUUUAAUCUGAUAAAGCUCACUUUAAAAUACAAAUUUCUUUUCAUCUCUAUAGAAUUAUUGCAAGAAAGAAAAAAAAGCUGAAAUUGAAAUAGGAUUAACGUUAAACUUUAAAUUCUAAGAAUAAUGGUUUUCUUAUCGUACUUUUUAUUUUACAAUAUUAUUUAAUAUUGUACUAAUUAUCUUUAUUCUAAGAUGUACGGGGAAUUUUUUUUUUUUAAAGAAUAAGAAAAGAAAAAAAAGUCUUCUAAUAUCCAAGCCUAUUUUCCUAGAUUAUGCAGCAACAGAGUAAUAUGAUUAGGAGACAUUGGUAUCAUUAAAGUAACAUAUAUUUUUCUUUAUGGUACUUUAUUUUUUCUUAGUUUAAUUAUUUUAUUAUCCAGUUAUUUGUUUUUUUUCAUUAUUAUUUAAUAUUGUAGUUAUUGUUUGUAAUCUAAGGUGUUAAAAAAGAUAAAAGUAAUUUUUAAAAAAAAUUCCUUCUAAUAUCUGACUUAAAUUUUUUCCUUCCUAAAUUAAAGAAUAAUAAAAUAGUAUUAUGAAGCUAACAUGUAUUUGAAGUUACUCUUCAAUUAAAGUUUUCUGUUGGUUUAAUUUUUAGUCUUAUUAUUCCAUUCUUUUAAAGCCAAUAGUUUUUUGAGCAUUGUUUACUGUUUUAGUUCCUUCAAUUGAUUUCAUUGAAAAAGAAAAAUCUGGUAAUGUUUUUAAAUUCAUAUCAUGAUUUGUAAUUUAUAAUAAAAUUUUUCCAAAUCUACAGCAUCAUGGAGGGACUUUUUUUCAUUUUCUUGCACUUUCUCCCACACUCUUGGUUAGAUUUCAGAGCAAUUAAAUAGCUAAAUAUUAAUAAACUUAAGAUAAAAUGAUAAGGUCUGUAAAUUUAUUUAUAUCAAUGCUUUAAAUGUUUUCUAUUUUAUUUUAUUUAAAAUUGUGUAGCAUUUUAUCACAUUACUUUUAAUUUUUUUAAGAAUAUGUAUAAUGUAAAUUUGUAUUCUAUUCAAAAUAUGGUGAUCUCUUGUAGUUAAAAAUUUUCUAUGAAGUGGUAAAAAUGUUUUUUUAUAACAAUUCACAAAUCAUGUAGUUAGUUUUAAAAAUAAGUCAUCAAAUAGUGUAUUUUAAACUCUAUUUUAUUGUUAGUGGUACGGUUGCAUUUAAGCACUUAAUUUUUUAAAAUUACAGUGUUGAAAAUAUUACCCAACUUCAUUAAACUUUGUCAAUUUUUUUUAUAUUCAUUCAAAGGCUAACCAUUAAAAGCCUCUAAAAUGAAAAUAAAUAAAUAAAAAUUUGACUUAUUCACUUUCAUAAUUAAAGGCCCAAUUAAUUUACAUUACUGGUUCAAAGAGCCAUCCGGGCUAAUAAUCUGUUUUAAUCAAAUAUGUAGCACUAGUUGUUUCUGUAAUGCUAAUUGUUCUCACUUUCAGAAAUAAAAGUUCAGUUCAUUUACAUUGGUGAUUCAAAGACAUUGUUAUUUGGCCAUUCUGGCUAAUAAUCAAUUAUAUAAAGCCAAUUGUUCCUAUUUUUUUUUAUCAGCCAUCUUACUAAACGAUCUGUGAUUUAAGCACAAUGUAAUUUUAUUAUACAUGAAAGAUUUAAUUGACACCACAUCAUGGUGCAAAUUAAAACUUAUUUUUAUAAGAGUUAUUUUUGUAUUCUGCGAGCUAUGAACAGAGUUAUACUUGUAAAAACUAACUGUGAACUUGUAAAAACUAAGUAAAAUGUGAUACUUGUAAAAACUAAACAAAUAUGUCAUUCAUUUUAUGUUAUUUGUAAUAAAAUUUUAGAAGUGGUGAAAUAGUUGUUUCUAUUUUCCACUUGUAAAAUUUUAUAUGUUAUUUCAUAUUGAUAUUUUUGAACAUGUUCUAAAAUUGUGCCAUUAGAAAAACUAUAUAAUAUGCCAUGAUAUUAAACUAGUUUUGUUAGAAGUCAAAAUGUGAUAAGCUUUAUUAUAUAUUUAUAGUCCAUUUACUAUACUUCAAUGCAUUAACUAGUCACUGUAAAUUACUAGAAAUUUUGCUAAGAAACUUUGAUAUUUUUAUAGCAAUAUGAAUUAAGAGUUAUUUAAUGCAUGUUUUAAUAUUCCAAACAAAUAUUUAAGUGUGCUUUUUCACAAACUGUAGAAAUAUUUUUUUUAAUUUUUGCCUUAUAAGGAAAAUACAGUUCUAAACUAUAUAUCAGGAGUCGAACUCUAAUAAAACUUGAAAAUAUAUUUCCUAUUUCUAAUUGCUGAUAUGUUUUUGUUUAUAUGAUACAUAUGUGUUAUAUAUGAUACAUAUUAACUGUCAUUACUAUUUCCCCAUCAAUUAGGCUUUUAUAUUUAUAGUAAUAUCUUAUAUUUUAAUGAUUCAAGCCUAAAAUAAAACAUAUACUUAAAUUAUGUUAAAUACUUUGUUCUUGUUGCUUAAGAAUUAUAUUUUAAUUAACAAAAACACUUGAUUGCAAUUGUUUGAUUCAAAUGAAUUCUAAUUUCUUUCCUUUAAAAAGGUUUACUAUGCAUUAUUUGUAUACAAAAUAAUUGAAAAACUAUAAUUGAUAUAUUUUAUUGACAUCAUUGCAAUUUGUUUUGAUCAGGCUCUCAUGUUUGUUUAUGUUGAGUUGGCUCACAAGAAAUUAGUGCUGUCUCUACAGGCAUUAUUAUUCAUAUAAAAUAUUCAAAAAUAUUAAUAUUAUGUUAUAUCGUGAAGUUCAUAUACAAUACAAAGUUUGACUACUAUCAAAAUUCCACCUCUAAGCAGAAGUUCAAUAAAAAAAAAUUGCAGAUAUUUUUAUUGUAGUAAUUCUUCAACAUUAAUAUGAUAAAUGCAUUUAUGUCAAUGUGCAUUAUUGUUAAAAAAAUGUGAAAUAAUUUUUUCUGUCAAAGUAAAUUUAAUUGGAAUGAUGACCAUAGAAGAUGUCAAUCUUAAUUUUGAAUUAUUAUUGUUUCAUACUUAUUAAGUUAUUUACUAAACAAACCAUUUACUUAAUAAUGGCCUCUCCUAUAUUACAUCUUAUCUAGUUAUUUUUUAUCCUACACAUCUAUGUUAUUAUUUUAUGAGAUUAAUAGCAUAGAUUAUUUUAGGAUUAGAUAAAAUAAUCUAUGUUAUUUUAUCUAGUUAUAUUUUGUCCUGUAUCCUUAUCCUCUGUUACAUCUCAUGUAAUUAUCUUUUUUACAGCAACUUGAAUGGUAUAAAAGCUUUAUAUUUAG